AAUAUAUAAAUAAAUUUUCUUUGAAUAACCAGUUUUAAACAGCGUGGUGUAAUUUUUUUUAAUCUACACUAUGCUACCUGUCUACUGGUACAUAA
rfam:Cajanus cajan Scaffold132340_17, whole genome shotgun sequence.